rnacentral:rRNA from 1 species
AGUGAACGCUGGCGGUAGGCCUAAUACAUGCAAGUCGAACGGCAGCACAGUAAGAGCUUGCUCUUACGGGUGGCGAGUGGCGGACGGGUGAGGAAUACAUCGGAAUCUACUUUUUCGUGGGGGAUAACGUAGGGAAACUUACGCUAAUACCGCAUACGAUCUACGGGUGAAAGCAGGGGAUCUUCGGACUUUGCGCGAUUGAAUGAGCCGAUGUCGGAUUAGCUAGUUGGCGGGGUAAAGGCCCACCAAGGCGACGAUCCGUAGCUGGUCUGAGAGGAUGAUCAGCCACACUGGAACUGAGACACGGUCCAGACUCCUACGGGAGGCAGCAGUGGGGAAUAUUGGACAAUGGGCGCAAGCCUGAUCCAGCCAUACCGCGUGGGUGAAGAAGGCCUUCGGGUUGUAAAGCCCUUUUGUUGGGAAAGAAAAGCAGCAGGUUAAAACCCCGCUGUCCUGACGGUACCCAAAGAAUAAGCACCGGCUAACUUCGUG